rnacentral:tRNA from 1 species
UGAUGGAAAUGGUUAACACUUUCGGCUGCUAACUGAAAGGUUGGUGGUUCAAGUCCACC